CAGCAGCCGCGGUAAAACGUAGGGGGCGAGCGUUGUCCGGAAUUACUGGGCGUAAAGCGCGCGCAGGCGGUCCUUUAAGUCUGAUGUGAAAUUCCGCGGCUCAACCGCGGGUGUGCAUUGGAAACUGAGGGACUUGAGUGCGGAAGAGGGGAGCGGAAUUCCCGGUGUAGCGGUGAAAUGCGUAGAGAUCGGGAGGAACACCAGUGGCGAAGGCGGCUCUCUGGUCCGCAACUGACGCUGAGGCGCGAAAGCGUGGGGAGCGAACAGGAUUAGAUACCCUGGUAGUCCACGCCGUAAACGAUGAGUGCUAAGUGUUAGAGGGGAUUGACCCUUUAGUGCUGCAGCUAACGCAUUAAGCACUCCGCCUGGGGAGUACGGCCGCAAGGUUGAAACUUAAAGGAAUUGGCGGG
rnacentral:rRNA from 1 species